UCAGGAUGCGCUUCAGCGUGCUACUCUUGAGAGCAAAUCCCAAGUGGGCUCAAUUUUUCAAGUUCUUAACACAAAAGAACCUCCUUCCAGACAAACAAAUUUACUUAGGCCUUCCAUGACAUUGUUAUGCAUAUGGGAGUUACAUGCUCAGAUCUGUGUGGUGACCUUUGGUCCAAGAUUGCUGCAUCCGAUAGCAUCUUCCUUGAGGGAACCUUUGGUCCAAGAUUGCUGCAUCCGAUAGCAUCUUUGUAGUUGCUAGGACAGUUGUAUGAUGCGGUGGCUGUGUAACUCGGCCUCGGCUACAACAUCUCCGGCGAGCUCCUGGUUCACACUUUGAUCAAAGGCUCAUUCAUGUUCCAGGAUAACAGGGGGCCAGAUGACGGAGUAGCAGCUGGGACCUGCAGCCUGAUGUGCCUUGGAUGGAAAGUGGAAGACCCGGGGCUAGAAGGAGACAAGUCAUCAUUUAGCGCCUUGUUUGUCAGGCCAUCUCUAUGCAACAGCGCUAGCUUUAUUUCUGUCGCCUUAGUCAACUGUGCGGUAUAUAUGGUUGCAUCGGAUGAGCAGCUGAGGUUUCAAGUCGGAAAAUGAUUGUGGUGUAUGUAAUAAUCCCAGCUUUUGUUGAUGUUUGCUGUUGGGUAUCUUGGUAUAUCUGUUUGAUUAGACAUCUUGUUGAGAUUUAGUGUCGUAUGAUUGUGUGCUAUGUGCACUUAGUAUAGUUUUGAAGAAUAUAUAUUCUU